CUCAGAGCAGCACUCUCAGAUCAGCCACAGAAAAGUCCCCAUUUUAUAGAGGGAGCUGAGACUCCCAAAUACAGAGAUAGCAGGUGGCAGAUGGAGGCUCCGCUGGGGCCCUGGUUUUCCCAAAGGUCCUGACUGCGACACUCGGGUGAGUUCCGGAGGAGAACACCCGUGGAGAUUGGAGCAUACUUGUGCGCAGCGGGCACAGCAGUACAGGCGGAGAGAGGGCUGGGUCCAGAGAAAGCCUGGCCAGCAGGUGUGGGCUGGACAGAUCCCAAGGACUGGACCAGAGGGCAAAGGGGCUCUCUGGAGCACAAAGUGACAGGGAGCAGGACACAGUGAAGGCCCAGAGGACUUGGGCAGGUAGGGUGCAUUCCAAAGGGGCCAGCUGGCAGAGCCCAGGAGGGCUUUAGAGGAAACGGAGGGAGCCGGAGGGAUGGGUCUGGCCCAGGCAGGCUGCUGCUGGGUUCCCGAGUGGCAAGCCCCGCUGCCUGCAGAAGUGACUGCUGGCCUCUUCGUCACCGUGUGGAGGAUUCCUGCCAUACAGGGUCCCUGCCAAGGUGCUGAAGCCCUUCCAUUGCAGGGGAGAGAGGUGCUGGCAGAGUGAGAUGGUAGGCUGCUUCCCCCUGGGACGAGGAGACGAAGACACCCAGGUCCCUCAGAAGACUCCACGAGACGGCCAGCAGCCAGGGCCAAAAGCAAAGGCCAGCACAGUGUGACCUCCGCGCAGGUCAAGAGAGUUAGAUCUACGCAGCUCUGGCACCCACCUCCCGCAGCUGAGUACUGACCCUAAGGAGAUGGUCACGAGAGGAGCGAAGCUGUGUGGGGACAAGGUGGUGGCUGUAGAGUGUCACGUUGACCUACAGACACGUGUCACAUUGACCUACAGACACGUGUCACGUUGACCUACAGACACGGGAAUCCCAAGAGCCCACCCAGCCAAGAACAGGCUUCGUUAGACAUGGUGAUGUGUCCGCAGCAGAAUGCCAUCCUGCCUCUGGAGGUCGACGUGGUCGCAGCCCAGGAAGUUAAGAAACCAAGCGGCAAACAUUAAACACAGAAGGAUCCCUUGCUUAUGAAUACACGGACGCAGGCCACCGGCUUAUUAAAUAUGUAAGGAAGGAGUCGGUGUGGGGGUGCUAUCAUGGGCCCUGGGGCUGGGGAGGAAGUUCAGGGUGUUAUUUGGGGGAUGUCAGGCAGUGGACACAUAAACUCAGGCCUCAACAGGGACCUUUGAGGCUGGUUCGACACCAUGAAGGAGACCACGCAAGAUGGACCAGUUUAGUCACUGUCCAAGGAGGUGACAUUUGACCGUGACCUGCACGCUAAAAACCCAGCCUUGGAGGUCAGGGAAGAGCAUUUCAGAAACAGACCAGGACUGGGGAGUGACGAUUGGGGUUCUGGGGGCUGAAGAGAGAAGACGGAAAGAUAAACGGCUUGUGAGUGUGAGUGGCCAGCCCGGCCAGCUGAGUCCCUGAUGACAGUGACCGGCGGCCAAGGAGGGGCGUUUCCAAGGACUUGGUUCUGUGCCUGGUGCCGCAGGGUGCCCUGGGAUUGCAGAUGAGGUGGUGACCGUGUUUCCCCGUCCAGAAGGGACUGCCUGGAAGGGUCAGGGAUAGGACAAGUUCUCUUUCCUUCUCUGUGCUCUUCCGGAACCCCCACACUUCUGCCAUUAAGAGCAAACACAUAAUCAUUUCUGCUUAAAAAAUAAAAUACACCAGAGAGCAUGCUCAUCUCCUGGAAGACGUACCUGUCCAAGUGCUGGAACCUCGCACCCUGGCUAUUAGGCGCAUGGUGAGUAGCUGCAGCCAGCCCCCACAGUGCAGCAGGACACUGGAGCUCGCUCGAGUGGUCACACUGCACCUUGGCUCCUCUGUGCACCCUCUCCACUCCUACCCCUCCAGUGGGAAGGUGGGGUAGGUAGAUGCGGAGAGGCUUGGGCAGAAAAUAGCUGAGCUGGGACCCGAGGGGAGGUGCACAGCCUGACCCACCUGGCCGGGCUCAUAGCUGGCCUGAGCCACUCACCCAGACCCCGAAGCCGCUCCUAAGGAGUCUAUAGGAAGGAGGUCCUGUCUGGGAGGCCAGGGACGGGCCUCCAGCUCCUGUUGCCAAUGGCUGGGACGAGAAGCAGAGUCUCCAUACCUGGGAGGUGCUCAGUAAAUAUUUGUCACAUUGAUGCAAUUGGGAAAAUGUCAGUGUGGCUCUGCUUACUUGAGAAUUCUGUGGCUGUGUGUCCUCUGGAGGAUAGAGCUGAGGUCUGUGCACACUUGUCCCCGGGGCAUUUCAGGUAAGGGGUAUGCAUGCACCUGGUCUGGGGUCACUGAAGGGGUUCAGGGAGAGAGAGGCCCUCAGAAGCACAGGAAGCGCUCAGCAGGGAGCCGGUAAGGAGGAGCUGCUCUCCCCCCAUCACUGCCCAGAUGCUACUGGGAGGUGGAGGGGCCUUUAGGGGGUGGGGGAGUGGGAGGAAGUUAGGUCCCUGGGGUGCACGCUUGAAGAGGAUGUUGGGGCCCUGGCACCUCCUGUCGCUCUGUUUCCUGGUGCCCAUGAGGUACACAGCUUCUUCUGCCACGUGCUCCAACGAUGACGCACUGCCUCACUCCAAGCCCCAGGAAACAGGGCCUGCCAGUCUGGGACCGCAAAUAAACCUCUCCUCCUCACAAGUUGAUUCUCUCAGGCACUCUGUCACAGUGGUGGACGGCUGCCGGCCUGGCGGUCAUUCAUGGGAAAUUCAGAGACGUGCACUGGACAUCUCUUUGUCUAGAGGAGACGCCCUUCCCAGAAGCAGAGUAUUUUGCCAAGUUCAGCAAUAGAAGGGCUGUCUCUCAUCUCAGAGGCUUUCUGGAGGUUCAAGGUCACAUGAAGAAGUUCCUAGCAUUUCCCAGUGUCUGUUUCUGAUGCAGUUAAGAGACCAGCUUUCCGAGUUCAGGCCUGAUAUUUGCUUACUGGCAUGAAUGGAGCCCGCCUGGGUGAGCAGCCCGGGGUCAGGGUCUCUCUGACCUCUGCCCCUGUUUUCCGACUUCAGUUGUCGGAGGACCACCAAGGGUUUUGCUCUAGCUGCAGACCCUGUGGUCUGGUCUUGCCCUUCUUUUCCUUUAACUUGUCUCAGAACUUAAAAUACAUUUCUUCAGAAGGGAAACUUACUCCCUACCCUAAAUGGAAAAGCAGUAUCACCUACCACAAAUAGAAGCUACCCAGAAGAAGGAAUACCAUGAGAAUAAAACAAAGCCAGGCGCGCUGGCGCAGGCCUGUAAUCCCAGCGGCUCUGGAGGCUGAGGCAGGAGGAUCAAAGUUCAAAACCAACCUCAGCAACUUAGUGAGGCCCUAAACAACUUAAUGAGACCCUAAGCAACUUAAUGAGACCCUGUUUCUAAAUAUAUAAAAAGGGCUGGGGAUGUGGCUCAGUGCUUAAGUGACCCUGGGUUUAAUCCCUGAUUUUAAAAAAAAAAAGAUUAAAAAGAAAAUGAUUUUAUUAAAUUCUAGAGAGUUACAGUUUUCCAUCAAAGACAGUUUGACGUUCAUUUAAAAGGGAGAUUUGGAGAGGUGUCAACCUUUUACAGAGAUGUUAAAAAACUUAUUAGUACCUUAUGAGAAUUUCUUCUUGGGGUAAUAAGAAAGAUUUAAAGAGAAUUUAAACAGGAAAAAAAAUGUGCCUUACCACAAGAUUCAGAGUUUUUAUUUUCUGUCUUUUCACUUUCUAGAAUCGUCUUGUGCCCACGGGGGACAAGGGGCCAUCUCUUAAUGACUCGGUUCUUUGGUGAGAAGAGGUGAGGGGAGAAGAGCUAACCCUCUGCCCCUCAUUUAUUUCAUCUUUUUAGGAAGAUUCCUUCUCCACUUUGAGACAAGGGAGCUGUGUUAGAGAAAUGCCCUGUGAGGAUCCCCAGCCCCUGAAGCUGUGAGAGUCCGUCCAGGAGUUUGGCUUCCGUCCUCGACUGUUUGGCUGCUGUCAGAGGAUUCCACUAACUGCCGCGCUCUGCGGUGCUGGGAUUGAGCCCAGGGCCUCGAGCCUGCCCAGCAGGUGCUGCACCUGGAGCUACAUCCAGAGCCCAGAAGGCCACCCACGGGGCAGCCUAUGGCCAUAGACAUGUAUUACCCACAGUUCCAGAGCCGGGAAGCCCAAGGUCACGGCUGGGUGUCUGGCCAGGGCUCACCUUUUGGUCCACAGGCAGCUCCUUCUGCCUCUCACUUGGAGGAAGGAACGAGGGGGGCUCUGGGGCCUCUUUCAUGAGGGUGCCAAUCCCAUUCUUGAGGGUUCCUCCCUGGAGACCUAUCAGCUCCCAAAGGCCCAGCCUCCUAAGGCCGUGGCCUUAGAGUUCAGGACUCAGGGUACACAGAGGUUUCUCACCCACUGAUGGAGCAAGGGGGGCUCUCAACAGCACAGCCCUUGGGGACAGUCUGGGUGGCUGGAUCUCCAGGUGGCAGCAAAGACAGGACUCAUCACAUGCGCACCGUAUGUGCACGUUUCCCGGGGGUGGCUCUCGGCUUGUCGAUCAGAGCAGAUGGUGCGCUGGAGAUGAGAAGCCCCCCUCUCCGCCCACCACAGAACGGAGCUGUUGACUCCAGGUGCCACCAUCUUUCAGUGGCCUCUGCAGACACCUCUUGCGGAGGUCGCCUUCCCCUAAGAGUCUGGGGAAGCCCCGUGCGUCAUCCCCAGGUGGUUCCUGCUCCCAGGACCCCUCCCUGCUCCUGACCUGGUGAGGGUCUGCUUUGCCUGGGCAUGGCACCCACACUUCCUGGCCUGCCCCCCAAGGCCUGCACAACCUGGGUCCUUCCAACCCACAUCCUUGUGUAGCAGCCCAUCCCUUGCUCCACCAGGGCCUCGUGCCUCUCUGGCUGCCAGGAUCUCCCUCUUUGAAUCCUCUGCUUCUGCCCGGGGGUCACCUGGCACUGGCAGGACUGGAGAUGGGUGAAGAAUGCAGGAACACCCGGGGCCACCCCAUGGUUCACGUCACUGCCGUCAACACCUGAGCAUCUGCGUGGGUGUGUACCCGAUGGCUUUGUAUUUGCCAGACUCUGGCAGGUAGCCACUGUCCCCGGUUACCUGUGACUUUCCCAGUUUUAACAUUGGAAGCUGAUGGUCCCAGACUCCCCAUCCAAGGCACAUUGGCAUGGCUGGCCAACCACUGGGUGAGAGCAGACCUUCUAUCUGGGGUCGUGGCUCAGUGGUUAAGUGACCCUGGGUUUAAUCCCUGGUACCAUAAAUAAAAGUGACCCUGGCUUCCACUAGUGGGAGAGGACGAUGUUCAACAAAUGAACCUGCAAGGAAACUGCGGAGUCAGCCUCUGUGUCCGAGGGUCCGUAACUGUGGAUCCAACUAACCUUGGGGUGAACACAGUUUUAAACUAUGGCAUCGGCACCAACCACAUGUAGACUCCUUUCUGUCUCUCGUCCCUAAGACAAUGCAGUAGCCAGCUCCACAGCACUGUCACUGCAUUGAGGAUCGUAAGUCAUUCAGAGGCGCUAUAAAGUAAACAGGAGGAAGGAGGAGGUUCAGUGCAAAGACAGAGCCAUUUUUUUAAGGGACAUAAACACAUGGAUUUGAGGGUCUACCAAGGGCCUGGAAUCAAUCCCCAGGAAGGACUAUAAUUACAAACUGUGACGAGCUCAAAGAAGGAUAAGCCAACCGGAGCUGGGCUGCGUAGGUACGUAAAGAAAAGGACACAGGCCAGGUCUUGGAGUGGUGCUUGACCGCAGCUGGGGAGAGGGACACAGCCCCCUGGGACAGAGGGGUGAGGGUGGCGAGUGGGAAGCCUUCCUGCGCUCAGUCCUCUUCACGGCGCAGGUUCUAUUUUAGCUGGCACUGCAUGCAGCAGAGACCUGCUCUGGCGACUUUGGCAGAGGCCCACUGAAAGGGUGUGAGAAGGAAAAGCUGGGCCUCCAGAGAGAGAAGAGCAGCGGCCCUAGGAAUGCGGACGGCCUUUGCUCCGUACCCAUUAGACAAAGUGAUUCCAGCCACUUGAUGCCCUUGGGCUUCUCCGCCCAGUGUUCUGAUUCCAGGAAGCAAGAGUCUGAGGGCCAAGCUUGGGUUUCGUGCCAGCGCCUUGGCUAGGCCAGGGGCGCUGUCGUUAGGCAUUCCACCAAACCCGAGCUGCAGGGCGUGGAGACUGAGGGCAAGGUGCAGGAGGGAAGCUUCGGCCGCCCCCAGCCCCUUCCCAGAGCAGCCCAUCCCUUGCUCCACCAGGGCCUCGUGCCUCUCUGCCUGCCUCUGUCCCAAUAUUCUGCUACCUUGGGGGGGCCCUGUGCCAACGGCCACACGGGUGUCUCAUCCAGCCAGCCCGACGUCCACCCCUUGGAGUGUGCACUGUGUCCUUCACAUGCUGGGCACGGAGCAGAGGCUCCCUUGGGGCUGCUGAGUGCUGCAGAGAGGUCUAAGAGUGUGUGGCCAUGACAGACGUGCCGUCCCUCGCUGGCCCAACGGGUCCCCUUGCUGCUUCUCAGCUCCGAGCUCGCAGGCUGCCUGGCUAUUCCUCCCCUCCACCUGCUGCCUUGUGGGUCUCAGGACUCAGAGGUUCUCAGCAGAGGGUGGUUGUCCCCCGGGGAACGUGGUGAUACUUGGAGACAUUUUUUGUUGUCUGGUUUUGGGGGUGCUAUGGCAUCUCGUGGGACGCUGCUAAACAGCCUGCAAUGCACAGGACAGCCCCACGCAGAGGACUGUCAGACCCCAGAUGUCCACAGUGCCCACAGCGAGACCCUGAAGCUCAGCUCCAGGGAUCCGCCAGGAGCCUUCCUGACCAACCUCCCCGGCUUUCACCGCACUCCCUCCGUCAUUACCUAAAAGGAUGACGUCUGUUCUGUGUCUGGCUUGGUACCUGCUGCUUGGACUAGGAAAGCGGGUCCCCCAGGGCCUUGCCACAGCUGGCUCCUCUGCACAAACAGCUCACAUUGUGCACAGGGAGCAGCUCAGGCCAGAGGAGCUGUGUGCGUGUUUAGUCAGGGAGUGUGGCCUCAGCCCAAGGCGAGCCCUCAGAGCACUGAGCCGGUGUCUUUUCUGAUUUCUUACUUCAGAUCCAGCCUCUGUGUUUCCCUGGCUGGUCGGCUGUUGGCAAUUUUUUAAAGCCUCUGGGUCUCAGUUUCUGCCAUCUGGGCCCCCAGGUCAGUGAUCAGCAGAGCCCGCGAGGGCAAAGCGCCCUGUUUGGUUUCACCAGCUCCAUCAUGGAACGAACUGGAUGAAACCUGUAUCCAGGCCUCAUUUGGAGAGGGGGCCAGCAGAGGGCCUGGGUUCAGUGAGGCAGAUGGCACCUUCCUUGAGUCAAGAAACUAGAGGAGGAGAUUAAAGUCUUCAACCCAACAGAGAUGGGCCAGCAGAUAGAGGGCCAUGGCGGGCAGAGGGCAGGAAGGAGGAGCAGUGGCCGCUCUCGAGAGGAGCUGGAGGACCAGGACAUUGCACUUAUAGAGCCAGGAAUGGCGUGGGGCUCUUCGUCUCCUACAGAGAGAUGAGGCUCGGAGAGGGAGAGGACCCCAAGCCUGUACAGCCAGGCAGCUGUAGAGCAGCCCAUGGGGCUGGAUUCCUCGAAUAGUAUUUUGUUGCUGCCCCAGGUCAAGACCAGUGGCAGACUGUCUCUCGACGUCCUGGCCUCGGGCCCCUUGGCCAGAAGAAGAUGCCCUGGACAGGUGCCUGGAUCUAGGGAGAGCUCAGCGUGGGCAGAGCCCCCGGGGGGCUGCUCUGCAGCGGCUGGGGUCACCGCCUGCAGGGCUCUGUCUGGUUGAAUCCCAGUAACCAGGGCAAGGGUCGUACCCUGCUGGGACCUUGGUUUCCUUGUGAAAUUAGGAAACAGGUCACAUCACAGGGCUGCUGAGGGAACUUGGUGGGCUGUUUCCAUGUCUAGAUUUAGUGCCUCGCUGGGUCCAAAAUAGUUGCGCAAACGAGGUGUCAGUUCCCACUGUGGCCAGAAUGGAUCUCAGUGCCACCCCUGGGCAUGGGCCAAGCAAGGGCAGCUCCUGUGCCUGGUGCCUCUUUCAUUGUCCUGCAAAACAUCUGGCACCUGCCAUGGUGCCACAAAUGGUGGUGGCUGAAGACUGUCGCCCGUGGGGACAUCCAAGUGGCACCGGGGAAGGCUGCCAACAGUACAUGUGACCCUUUGUCACUAGUUCAGAACUUAAUCCUCAAUGCAUGAAGCAGCCCUCCUGUCCAAUGGCAGAGUGGCCUGGGGACGAUGCCGAUGCCGUUUGUUUUGUGGCCUCUCUGCAGCAAGGGGCCUUUCUCCAACAAAGUGGGCCAUUUGCAUUUAAAUUGGUUUUCUCUCAUUAUAGACAUCUCCUGGGUCAGCUGGAGAGUCCGUUUUCCUCAGAGUCAGUCUGGAGACUCCAUUUCUCGCUUGAGGGUCCCCGGUGCCCAUCUGCCUCUCGCUGACGGUGACAUGAGAUCAUGUGUUCUUGCUGUGGAGACCCGAUAUCCCGAAAAGUCCCCCCAAGUCUCCUAUAAACUUGGAGAGGCGGGGAGGGGGCCAGCAGGGAGGAUCAGGGAGGAGACCACGGGGUAGUCUGGCUUUGGGGUGUAAGAUUUGCUUCCUCAUUUGUUCCCAAAUACUUAACAAAGCAUGCUUCCAGGUGCCAAGAAGGCAGAAGUAGACCAGACAGGUGUGCUGCCCCCAGGAGUUCCUCCUCUGGUGAAGGUCAGAGAAAAACAAGACUAAGAGAGAAAAAUCAUCAUAAAUUGAAAAAAAAGAAAGUUUAAUAAAAGCCAGAAUAAAU
rnacentral:lncRNA from 1 species